rnacentral:antisense_RNA from 1 species
CUUCAGCGACCCCAGCCACAACGGGCGUUCGGCGGUGCGGUGCUUCCCGUAGGUCGCCAGCAGCGCUUGGGCUUC